rnacentral:lncRNA from 10 species
UUUUGGAAUCGGAGAGAAACAAGUUGCUGCCCCAGGAAAGCGUGCAUUUUCGGAGAUCACUCAUUGCAGAAGAAGCCAACUGCCAUGCCAGAGGGGCACUCAAACAGCUCUGCAAGGAAGUCCCUGUGAUAAGCAACUGAAGACUCUGCCAUCGGCCAUGAGAGCGCCACCUUGGAAACAGAUUCUUCAGCCUUAGUCAAAUUUUCAGAAGACUGUAUGUCCAGCCAACUUCUUGACUACAAUCCCUUUAUAGAUCCCAAGCUAGAACCUCCCAGCUAAGCCACUCCUGGAUUCCUGACCCUGA